rnacentral:tRNA from 5 species
UGCGCGGUAGUGAAACGGGAUCACAAAGGUCUCAUAAGCCUUUAUUACGGGUUCGAAUCCCGUCUGCGCAAC